UACGGAGGGGGCAAGCGUUGUUCGGAAUCAUUGGGCGUAAAGGGCGCGUAGGCGGCCGAUCAAGUCGGAGGUGAAAUCCCUCGGCUCAACUGAGGAAUUGCCUUCGAUACUGUUCGGCUUGAGUCCUGGAGAGGGUAGCGGAAUUCCCGGUGUAGCGGUGGAAUGCGCAGAUAUCAGGAGGAACACCAAUGGCGAAGGCAGAUCUCUGGGCCGUAACUGACGCUGAGGAGCGAAAGCAUGGGGAGCGAACAGG
rnacentral:rRNA from 1 species